UCAUCAGUAUGGGUCAAUCUCUGAUCUGCAACUGAACAUGAUGAAAACGGGCGAUGAUCCUUUGGUGAUUAUAACGCACGGCGAGGAGGGAACGCAAUACCCACCUGUCUGCCCGAAUCUGAG
rnacentral:snoRNA from 13 species